rnacentral:rRNA from 1 species
GGAUUCCCCUAGUAACUGCGAGUGAAGCGGGAAAAGCUCAAAUUUAAAAUCUGACAGUCUUUGGCUGUCCGAGUUGUAAUCUGGAGAAGCGUUUUCCGCGCUGGACCGUGUACAAGUCUCUUGGAAUAGAGCGUCAUAGAGGGUGAGAAUCCCGUCUUUGACACGGACUACCAGUGCUUUGUGAUACGCUCUCAAAGAGUCGAGUUGUUUGGGAAUGCAGCUCAAAAUGGGUGGUAAAUUCCAUCUAAAGCUAAAUAUUGGCGAGAGACCGAUAGCGAACAAGUACCGUGAGGGAAAGAUGAAAAGCACUUUGGAAAGAGAGUUAAACAGUACGUGAAAUUGCUGAAAGGGAAGCGUUUGAAGUCAGUCGCGUUGUUCAGAACUCAACCUGGUUUUACUUGGUGCACUUUCUGGAUGACGGGCCAACAUCAGUUUUGACUGUCGGAAAAAAGCCUUUGGAAUGUGGCACCUCCGGGUGUGUUAUAGCCUUUGGUUGUAUACGAUGGUUGGGAUUGAGGACCGCAGCACGCCUUUUGGCCGGGGUUCGCCCACGUACGUGCUUAGGAUGUUGGCGUAAUGGCUUUAAACGACCCGUCUUGAAACACGGACCAAGGAGUCUAACAUGCCUGCGAGUGUUUGGGUGGAAAACCCGAGCGCGUAAUGAAAGUGAAAGUUGGGAUCCCUGUCGUGGGGAGCACCGACGCCCAUACCAGACCUUCUGUGACGGAUAUGCGGUUGAGCAUGUAUGUUGGGACCCGAAAGAUGGUGAACUAUGCCUGAAUAGGGUGAAGCCAGAGGAAACUCUGGUGGAAGCUCGUAGCGAUUCUGACGUGCAAAUCGAUCGUCAAAUUUGGGUAUAGGGGCGAAAGACUAAUCGAACCAUCUAGUAGCUGGUUCCUGCCGAAGUUUCCCUCAGGAUAGCAGAAACUCAUAUCAGAUUUAUGUGGUAAAGCGAAUGAUUAGAGGCCUUGGGGUUGAAACAACCUUAACCUAUUCUCAAACUUUAAAAAUGUAAGAACAAGCCGUCA